UAUCCACUCCCUCCAUCCAACAAAAGAUGUCUCAAGUUUGUUAAAAUUUGAAUGUAUCUAGACAUGACUUAGUGUAUAGAUGCAUUCAAAUUUAGUCGAAGUUCAGACAUCUUUUGUUGGACAGAAGAAGUACCAG
rfam:Brachypodium distachyon strain Bd21 chromosome 3, whole genome shotgun sequence.